AUUGAACGCUGGCGGCAGGCCUAACACAUGCAAGUCGAACGAGUGGCGGACGGGUGAGUAAUGUCUGGGAAACUGCCUGAUGGAGGGGGAUAACUACUGGAAACGGUAGCUAAUACCGCAUACCAUCGGAUUUGCCCAGAUGGGAUUAGGUAGUGGGUGGGGUAAAGGAUCACCUAGGCGACGAUCCCUAGCUGGUCUGAGAGGAUGACCAGCAAAACUGGAACUGAGACACGGGCCAGACUCCAAGGAGAGGCAGAAGGGGGGAAUAUUGCACAAUGGGGGCAAGCCGGAUGCAGCCAUGCGGCGUGUAUGAAGAAGGCCUUCGGGUGGUAAGGUACGUUCAGCGGGGAGGCGUUACCCGAAGAGGAAGCACCGGCUAACUCCGUGCCAGCCGCCGCGGUAAUAC
rnacentral:rRNA from 1 species